CCUACGGGAGGCAGCAGUGGGGAAUUUUGGACAAUGGGCGCAAGCCUGAUCCAGCUAUUCCGCGUGUGGGAUGACGGCCCUCGGGUUGGAAAACACUUUAGUAGAGAACGAAAAGGAGCUAUCGAAAAAAAAGGUCUGCUGACGGUACGCUAAGAAUAAGCACCGGCUAACUACGUGCCAGCAGCCGCGGUAAUACGUAGGGUGCGAGCGUUAAUCGGAAUUAAUGGGCGUAAGGGUGUGCAGGCGGCUUAGUAAGAGAGAUGUGAAAUCCCCGGGCUUAACCUGGGAACCGCAUAUGUGGCUGCUUGGCUAGAGUGCGUAAGAGGGAGGUGGAAUUCCACGUGUAGCAGUGAAAUGCGUAGAUAGGUGGAAGAACACCGAUGGAGAAGGCAGCCUCCUGGGACGUAACUGACGCUCAGACACGAAAGCAUGGGGAGCAAACAGGAUUAGAUACCCUUGUAGUC
rnacentral:rRNA from 1 species